GAGCGAACAGGAUUAGAUACCCUGGUAGUCCAUGCCGUAAACGUUGGGAACUAGAUGUAGGGGCCAUUCCACGGUUUCUGUGUCGCAGCUAACGCAUUAAGUUCCCCGCCUGGGGAGUACGGCCGCAAGGCUAAAACUCAAAGGAAUUGACGGGGGCCCGCACAAGCGGCGGAGCAUGCGGAUUAAUUCGAUGCAACGCGAAGAACCUUACCAAGACUUGACAUAUACGAGAACGGGCUAGAAAUAGUUCACUCUUUGGACACUCGUAAACAGGUGGUGCAUGGUUGUCGUCAGCUCGUGUCGUGAGAUGUUGGGUUAAGUCCCGCAACGAGCGCAACCCUCGUUCUUUGUUGCCAGCACGUAAUGGUGGGAACUCAAAGGAGACUGCCGGGGUCAACUCGGAGGAAGGUGGGGAUGACGUCAAAUCAUCAUGCCCCUUAUGUCUUGGGCUUCACGCAUGCUACAAUGGCCGAUACAAAGGGCUGCAAUACCGCGAGGUGGAGCGAAUCCCAAAAAGUCGGUCUCAGUUCGGAUUGAGGUCUGCAACUCGACCUCA
rnacentral:rRNA from 1 species